GAUGAACGCUGGCGGCGUGCCUAAUACAUGCAAGUCGAGCGAACAGACGAGGAGCUUGCUCCUCUGACGUUAGCGGCGGACGGGUGAGUAACACGUGGAUAACCUACCUAUAAGACUGGGAUAACUUCGGGAAACCGGAGCUAAUACCGGAUAAUAUAUUGAACCGCAUGGUUCAAUAGUGAAAGACGGUUUUGCUGUCACUUAUAGAUGGAUCCGCGCCGCAUUAGCUAGUUGGUAAGGUAACGGCUUACCAAGGCAACGAUGCGUAGCCGACCUGAGAGGGUGAUCGGCCACACUGGAAGUGAGACACGGUCCAGACGCCUACGGGAGGCAGCAGUAGGGAAUCUUCCGCAAUGGGCGAAAGCCUGACGGAGCAACGCCGCGUGAGUGAUGAAGGUCUUCGGAUCGUAAAACUCUGUUAUUAGGGAAGAACAAAUGUGUAAGUAACUAUGCACGUCUUGACGGUACCUAAUCAGAAAGCCACGGCUAACUACGUG
rnacentral:rRNA from 1 species